GAUGAAGAACGCAGCGAAAUGCGAUAAGUAAUGUGAAUUGCAGAAUUCAGUGAAUCAUCGAAUCUUUGAACGCACAUUGCGCCCUCUGGUAUUCCGGGGGGCAUGCCUGUUCGAGCGUCAUUAUAACCACUCAAGCUCUCGCUUGGUAUUGGGGCUCGCGGUUCCGCGGCCCCUAAAAUCAGUGGCGGUGCCCGUCGGCUCUACGCGUAGUAAUACUCCUCGCGAUUGAGUCCGGUAGGUCUACUUGCCAGCAACCCCCAAUUUUUACAGGUUGACCUCGGAUCAGGUAGGGAUACCCGCUGAACUUAAGCAUAUCAAUAAGCGGAGGA
rnacentral:misc_RNA from 1 species